rnacentral:rRNA from 1 species
AGAGUUUGAUCAUGGCUCAGGACGAACGCUGGCGGCGUGCCUAAUACAUGCAAGUCGAGCGGACCACUUCGGUGGUCAGCGGCGGACGGGUGAGUAACACGUGGGCAACCUGCCUGUAAGACUGGGAUAACACCGGGAAACCGGUGCUAAUACCGGAUAAUCCUUUCCUUCACAUGAAGGAAAGCUGAAAGACGGUUUCGGCUGUCACUUACAGAUGGGCCCGCGGCGCAUUAGCUAGUUGGUGAGGUAACGGCUCACCAAGGCAACGAUGCGUAGCCGACCUGAGAGGGUGAUCGGCCACACUGGGACUGAGACACGGCCCAGACUCCUACGGGAGGCAGCAGUAGGGAAUCUUCCGCAAUGGACGAAAGUCUGACGGAGCAACGCCGCGUGAGCGAUGAAGGCCUUCGGGUCGUAAAGCUCUGUUGUCAGGGAAGAACAAGUAUCGGAGUAACUGCCGGUACCUUGACGGUACCUGACCAGAAAGCCACGGCUAACUACGUGCCAGCAGCCGCGGUAAUACGUAGGUGGCAAGCGUUGUCCGGAAUUAUUGGGCGUAAAGCGCGCGCAGGCGGUCCUUUAAGUCUGAUGUGAAAGCCCACGGCUCAACCGUGGAGGGUCAUUGGAAACUGGGGGACUUGAGUGCAGAAGAGGAAAGUGGAAUUCCACGUAGCGGUGAAAUGCGUAGAGAUGUGGAGGAACACCAGUGGCGAAGGCGACUUUCUGGUCUGUAACUGACGCUGAGGCGCGAAAGCGUGGGGAGCAAACAGGAUUAGAUACCCUAGUAGUCC